rnacentral:rRNA from 1 species
UCCGGUCAUGUGUGCGGCGGCGGAUCAACCCCUUGCGCCAAACUGUCGUCUCUAACAGACCGAAGCGGUUCCCUGUGAGUAGGCCACUUAAUUGGGGCUGAAAGCGUUUACGCAUUAACCACAUGCAUACGGGACGUCGGUCAAAGUUACUGUGAACAAACCAGCGUGUCCAAAACAGGCUUUGCCUGAAUGUUCGAGCAUGGAAUAACAAGGGAUCGAUUCUCUCGGUUCUUUUUGUUGGUUUUUAACCCGAGAAGGAGUAAUUCAGGCCAAGGUGUCUGGGCUGGGUUCCCCUUCACUUCGGUGAAGGCCCCAGUUAGGCCUUGUCCCUACGGGAUAAAUAGGGACUGACGGGGUCGUACGUACUUCCACGUCAGAGGUGAAAUUCUUAGAUCGUGGGAAGACGAACUUCUGCGAAAGCAUUCGACAAGAAUGUCUUCAUUAAUCAAGAACGAGAGUGUGGGGAUCGAAGAUGAUCAGAUACCGUCGUAGUCCACUACUGUAAACAAUGCCGUCUCAGGAUUGAGAAGUGAACCUAAUGACUUUCACAGCACUAACCCCUGAAACGAGAAAUCAAAGAUUAUGGGUUCAGGGGGGAGUACAUUCGCAAGGCUGAAACUUAAAGGAAUUGACGGAAUGAC